UCUUGGUCAUUUAGAGGAAGUAAAAGUCGUAACAAGGUUUCCGUAGGUGAACCUGCGGAAGGAUCAUUAAUGGAUUACAAGGGAGUGCUACCCUCACGGGUCGCCUUCCGAUUUCUCCAUCCCACCCCUUUGUGAACUCUCGCGUGGGCUUAGUACCAGGUUUCGGCCUGGGAAGGCCCGCGAUUUUAUACAUACCCCUAUGCAAGUCUCAGAAUGUACCCUUUGUGUUUAAUCGCAAAUAAAUACAACUUUCAGCAACGGAUCUCUUGGCUCUCGCAUCGAUGAAGAACGCAGCGAAAUGCGAUAAGUAAUGUGAAUUGCAGAAUUCAGUGAAUCAUCGAAUCUUUGAACGCAACUUGCGCCCCUUGGUAUUCCGAGGGGCACGCCUGUUUGAGUGUCGUGAAUUCCUCCACCUACAGCUUCAUUGUUGUAAGGCUGGGAUUUGGGGGCUUUGCGGGAUUUCCUCUAUGAGGUCCGCUCCCCUUGAAUGCAUUAGUGAAGACCUAUAGUGGCCUUGGCGUGAUACAAAACAUCUACGUCUCGGCUUGCUGUUAAUCGGGCUUUGCUUCUAACCGUCCUUUCAUGGGACACUUUACCUUUGAACUUGACCUCAAAUCAGGCGGGACUACCCGCUGAACUUAAGCAUAUCAAUAAGCGGAGGAAAAGAAACUAACAAGGAUUCCCCUAGUAACUGCGAGUGAAGCGGGAAGAGCUCAAAUUUAAAAUCUGGCGGUU
rnacentral:rRNA from 1 species